UACGUAGGGUGCAAGCGUUGUCCGGAAUUAUUGGGCGUAAAGAGCUCGUAGGCGGUUUGUUGCGUCGGCUGUGAAAUCCCGAGGCUCAACCUCGGGUCUGCAGUCGAUACGAGCAAACUAGAGUGUUGCAGGGGUGACUGGAAUUCCUGGUGUAGCGGUGAAAUGCGCAGAUAUCAGGAGGAACACCGGUGGCGAAGGCGGGUCUCUGGGCAACAACUGACGCUGAGGAGCGAAAGCGUGGGGAGCAAACAGG
rnacentral:rRNA from 1 species